GAUGAACGCUAGCGGCAGGCCUAAUACAUGCAAGCUGAACGGUAAAUGUUAUAGCAAUAUAAUAUGAGAGUAGCGUACGGGUGCGUAACACGUAUGCAAUCUACCCGCAACAGGAGGAUAGCUCCCCGAAAGGGGAAUUAAUACUCCACAAGAUCACGAGAGGGCAUCUGAUUGUGAUUAAACUCCAAGGGGUUGCGGAUGAGCAUGCGUCUGAUUAGUUAGUUGGUGAGGUAACGGCUCACCAAGACGAUGAUCAGUAUGGGAGCUGCGAGGUUGAUCCCCCACACUGGCACUGAGAUACGGGCCAGGGUCCUACGGGAGGCAGCAGUAGGGAAUAUUGGUCAAUGGGUGAGAGCCUGAACCAGCCAUGCCGCGUGCAGGAAGAAAGCCUUCUGGGUUGUAAACUGCUUUUGCCAGGGGAUAAAAUACCCAUGCGUGGGGAAUUGAAGGUACCUGGUGAAUAAGCCACGGCUAACUACGUGCCAGCCGCCGCUGUAAUAC
rnacentral:rRNA from 1 species